GGGGCAGCAGGUCUGUAGCAAUACAGGCGCUGGCGACCGGCAAACGGGUGCGGAACACGUACACAACCUUCCUUUAAGUGGGGAAUAGCCCGGGGAAACCCGGAUUAAUACCCCGUAAUAUAAUGAAGUGGCAUCACUUUAUUAUUAUAGCUCCGGCGCUUGAAGAUGGGUGUGCGACUGAUUAGGCAGUUGGCGGGGUAACGGCCCACCAAACCUACGAUCAGUAACUGGUGUGAGAGCACGACCAGUCACACGGGCACUGAGACACGGGCCCGACUCCUACGGGAGGCAGCAGUAAGGAAUAUUGGUCAAUGGACGCAAGUCUGAACCAGCCAUGCCGCGUGGAGGAUGAAGGUCCUCUGGAUUGUAAACUUCUUUUAUCUGGGAAGAAAUCCACAAAUUCUUUUGUGGUUGACGGUACCAGAUGAAUAAGCACCGGCUAACUCCGUGCCAGCAGCCGCGGUAAUACGGAGGGUGCAAGCGUUAUCCGGAUUCACUGGGUUUAAAGGGUGCGUAGGUGGGUUGGUAAGUCAGUGGUGAAAUCUCCAGGCUUAACUUGGAAACUGCCAUUGAUACUAUCAAUCUUGAAUACCGUGGAGAUCAGCGGAAUAUGUCAUGUAGCGGUGAAAUGCUUAGAUAUGACAUAGAACACCAAUUGCGAAGGCAGCUGGUUACACGAAUAUUGACACUGAUGCACGAAAGCGUGGGGAUCAAACAGGAUUAGAUACCCUGGUAGUCCACGCCCUAAACGAUGGAUACUCGACAUACGCGAUAUACUGUGUGUGUCUGAGCGAAAGCAUUAAGUAUCCCACCUGGGAAGUACGAUCGCAAGAUUGAAACUC
rnacentral:rRNA from 1 species